AUUUCAAUUUCUUGAUGUCUUACAAUUUUUUAUCCGAUCAUCGAAGUCAAGCAAUGUCGGGCCCUGUCAGUACUUGGGAGGGUGACCAACUGAGAACACCGUGUUCUGUAGGCU